UCACUUACCUGGACGGGGUCAAUGGGAGAUCAAGAAGACCCAUGGCCUAGGGCCGUAACCUUCAUUGCACAUGGAAGGGGUGCUGCUUUAAGGUCUCCCCAAGCUGGGAGAGCCUACGUCAUUAUUUGUGGCAGCGGGGGCCUGCGUUCGCGCGGCCCCUAC